rnacentral:rRNA from 1 species
UGGGGAAUUUUGGACAAUGGGCGAAAGCCUGAUCCAGCAAUGCCGCGUGUGUGAAGAAGGCCUUCGGGUUGUAAAGCGCUUUUGUCCGGAAAGAAAUCCUUGGCUCUAAUACAGUCGGGGGAUGACGGUACCGGAAGAAUAAGCACCGGCUAACUACGUGCCAGCAGCCGCGGUAAUACGUAGGGUGCAAGCGUUAAUCGGAAUUACUGGGCGUAAAGCGUGCGCAGGCGGUUUGCUAAGACCGAUGUGAAAUCCCCGGGCUCAACCUGGGAACUGCAUUGGUGACUGGCAGGCUAGAGUAUGGCAGAGGGGGGUAGAAUUCCACGUGUAGCAGUGAAAUGCGUAGAGAUGCGGAGGAAUACCGAUGGCGAAGGCAGCCCCCUGGGCCAAUACUGACGCUCAUGCACGAAAGCGUGGGGAGCAAACAGGAUUAGAUACCCUGGUAGUCCACGCCCUAAACGAUGUCAACUAGUUGUUGGGGAUUCAUUUCCUUAGUAACGUGAGCUAACGCGUGAAGUUGACCGCCUGGGGAGUACGGUCGCAAGAUUAAAACUCAAAUGAAUUGACGGGGUCAUAGCUGUUUCCU